AGAGUUUGAUCCUGGCUCAGGACGAACGCUGGCGGCGUGCCUAACACAUGCAAGUCGAACGGAACUGUUUUGAAAGAUUUCUUCGGAAUGAAUUUGAUUUAGUUUAGUGGCGGACGGGUGAGUAACGCGUGAGUAACCUGCCUUCAAGAGGGGGAUAACAUUCUGAAAAGAAUGCUAAUACCGCAUGAUAUAUCGGAACCACAUGGUUCUGAUAUCAAAGAUUUUAUCGCUUGAAGAUGGACUCGCGUCCGAUUAGUUAGUUGGUGAGGUAACGGCUCACCAAGACCGCGAUCGGUAGCCGGACUGAGAGGUUGAACGGCCACAUUGGGACUGAGACACGGCCCAGACUCCUACGGGAGGCAGCAGUGGGGGAUAUUGCGCAAUGGGGGCAACCCUGACGCAGCAACGCCGCGUGAAGGAUGAAGGUUUUCGGAUUGUAAACUUCUUUUAUUAAGGACGAAAAAUGACGGUACUUAAUGAAUAAGCUCCGGCUAACUACGUGCCAGCAGCCGCGGUAAUACGUAGGGAGCAAGCGUUGUCCGGAUUUACUGGGCGUAAAGGGUGCGUAGGCGGCUUUGCAAGUCAGAUGUGAAAUCUAUGGGCUCAACCCAUAAACUGCAUUUGAAACUGUAGAGCUUGAGUGAAGUAGAGGCAGGCGGAAUUCCCCGUGUAGCGGUGAAAUGCGUAGAGAUGGGGAGGAACACCAGUGGCGAAGGCGGCCUGCUGGGCUUUAACUGACGCUGAGGCACGAAAGCGUGGGUAGCAAACAGGAUUAGAUACCCUGGUAGUCCACGCUGUAAACGAUGAUUACUAGGUGUGGGGGGUCUGACCCCUU
rnacentral:rRNA from 1 species